rnacentral:rRNA from 1 species
CGGGACACGUGGUAUCCUGUCUGAAUAUGGGGGGACCAUCCUCCAAGGCUAAAUACUCCUGACUGACCGAUAGUGAACCAGUACCGUGAGGGAAAGGCGAAAAGAACCCCGGCGAGGGGAGUGAAAAAGAACCUGAAACCGUGUACGUACAAGCAGUGGGAGCCUCUUUAUGGGGUGACUGCGUACCUUUUGUAUAAUGGGUCAGCGACUUAUAUUCUGUAGCAAGGUUAACCGAAUAGGGGAGCCGAAGGGAAACCGAGUCUUAACUGGGCGUUAAGUUGCAGGGUAUAGACCCGAAACCCGGUGAUCUAGCCAUGGGCAGGUUGAAGGUUGGGUAACACUAACUGGAGGACCGAACCGACUAAUGUUGAAAAAUUAGCGGAUGACUUGUGGCUGGGGGUGAAAGGCCAAUCAAACCGGGAGAUAGCUGGUUCUCCCCGAAAGCUAUUUAGGUAGCGCCUCGUGAAUUCAUCUCCGGGGGUAGAGCACUGUUUCGGCAAGGGGGUCAUCCCGACUUACCAACCCGAUGCAAACUGCGAAUACCGGAGAAUGUUAUCACGGGAGACACACGGCGGGUGCUAACGUCCGUCGUGAAGAGGGAAACAACCCAGACCGCCAGCUAAGGUCCCAAAGUCAUGGUUAAGUGGGAAACGAUGUGGGAAGGCCCAGACAGCCAGGAUGUUGGCUUAGAAGCAGCCAUCAUUUAAAGAAAGCGUAAUAGCUCACUGGUCGAGUCGGCCUGCGCGGAAGAUGUAACGGGGCUAAACCAUGCACCGAAGCUGCGGCAGCGACACUAUGUGUUGUUGGGUAGGGGAGCGUUCUGUAAGCCUG